AGAGUUUGAUCCUGGCUCAGGAUGAACGCUGGCGGUAUGCUUAACACAUGCAAGUCGAACGGAAUCUUAGGAUUUAGUGGCGGACGGGUGAGUAACGCGUGAGAAUCUAGCUCUAGGUCGGGGACAACCACUGGAAACGGUGGCUAAUACCGGAUGAGCCGAAAGGUAAAAGAUUUAUCGUCUAGAGAUGAGCUCGCGUCUGAUUAGCUAGUUGGUGGGGUAAGAGCUUACCAAGGCGACGAUCAGUAGCUGGUCUGAGAGGAUGAUCAGCCACACUGGGACUGAGACACGGCCCAGACUCCUACGGGAGGCAGCAGUGGGGAAUUUUCCGCAAUGGGCGAAAGCCUGACGGAGCAAUACCGCGUGAGGGAGGAAGGCUCUUGGGUUGUAAACCUCUUUUCUCAAGGAAUAAGAAAGUGAAGGUACUUGAGGAAUAAGCAUCGGCUAACUCCGUGCCAGCAGCCGCGGUAAUACGGAGGAUGCAAGCGUUAUCCGGAAUGAUUGGGCGUAAAGCGUCCGCAGGUGGUACUGUAAGUCUGCUGUCAAAGAGUCACGCUUAACGUGAUAAAGGCAGUGGAAACUACAGAACUAGAGUACGGUCGGGGCAGAAGGAAUUCCUGGUGUAGCGGUGAAAUGCGUAGAGAUCAGGAAGAACACCGGUGGCGAAAGCGUUCUGCUAGUCCUGUACUGACACUGAGGGACGAAAGCUAGGGGAGCGAAUGGGAUUAGAUACCCCAGUAGUCCUAGCCGUAAACGAUGGAUACUAGGCGUGGCUUGUAUCGACCCGAGCCGUGCCGAAGCAAGGGCGAAUU
rnacentral:rRNA from 1 species